GGGGCCGUGGCGCAGCUGGGAGCGCGCCUCGAUGGCAUCGAGGAGGUCGUGGGUUCGAACCCCAUCGGCUCCACCA
rnacentral:tRNA from 1 species